rnacentral:rRNA from 1 species
GCAUGUCUGUCUGAGUGUCGGU